AGGAUGAACGCUGGCGGCGUGCCUAACACAUGCAAGUCGAACGUCCUGUCUCGCAAGAGGCAGGGAGUGGCGGACGGGUGAGUACCACGUGGGUCAUCUACCGUGAGGUGAGGAAUACCGGCGAGAAAUCGCCGACAAGACCGCAUAGCCUCGGUGCAAGUCGAGGAAAGCUCUCUCGAGAGAGGGAGCGCCACACGAGGAGCCUGCGCCCGAUUAGCUAGCUGGUGGAGUAAUGGUUCACCAGGGCGACGAUCGGUAGCUGGUCUGAGAGGACGAUCAGCCACACUGGGAUUGAGAACGGCCCAGACUCCUACGGGGGCAGCAGUGAGGAAUUUUCGUCAAUGGGGGCAACCCUGAACGAGCAACGCCGCGUGCAGGAAGAAGGUUUUCGGAUCGUAAACUGCUUUUCUCGGGAAGAGAACGGACGGUACCCGAGGAAUCAGCCCCGGCUAACUACGUGCCAGCAGCCGCGGU
rnacentral:rRNA from 1 species